rnacentral:rRNA from 1 species
UACAGAGGUCUCAAGCGUUGUUCGGAUUCAUUGGGCGUAAAGGGUGCGUAGGCGGUGCAGCAAGUCGGGAGUGAAAUACCUCAGCUUAACUGAGGAACUGCUUUCGAUACUGCUGUGCUUGAGUAAGACAGAGGUAAGCGGAACUUAGGGUGGAGCGGUGAAAUGCGUUGAUAUCCUAAGGAACACCGGUGGCGAAGGCGGCUUACUGGGUCUUAACUGACGCUGAGGCACGAAAGCCAGGGUAGCAAACGGG